GACGAACGCUGGCGGCGUGCCUAAUACAUGCAAGUAGAACGCAGUUGCGAACGGGUGAGUAACGCGUAGGUAACUGCCUCAUAGCGGGGGAUAACUAUUGGAAACGAUAGCUAAUACAGCACACUGUGAGAUGGACCUGCGUUGUAUUAGCUAGUUGGGGGGGUAAAGGCUCACCAAGGAGACGAUACAUAGCCGACCUGAGCGGGUGGUCGCACACACUGUGACUGUGACACGGCCCAGACUCCUACGGGAGGCAGCAGUGGGGAAUCUUCGGCAAUGGACGGAAGUCUGACCGAGCAACGCCGCGGGAGUGUAAAAGGUUUUCGGAUCGUAAAGCUCUGUUGUUGGGGGAGCGGUAACUAACCAGAAAGGGACUGCUAACUACGUGCCAGCAGCCGCGGUAAUAC
rnacentral:rRNA from 1 species